rnacentral:rRNA from 1 species
GAUGAACGCUGGCGGCGUGCCUAAUACAUGCAAGUCGAGCGAACGGACGAGAAGCUUGCUUCUCUGAUGUUAGCGGCGGACGGGUGAGUAACACGUGGAUAACCUACCUAUAAGACUGGGAUAACUUCGGGAAACCGGAACUAAUACCGGAUGAUAUUUUGAACCGCAUGGUUCAAAAGUGAAAGACGGUCUUGCUGUCACUUAUAGAUGGAUCCGCGCUGCAUUAGCUAGUUGGUAAGGUAACGGCUUACCAAGGCAACGAUGCAUAGACGACCUGAGAGGGUGAUCGGCCACACUGGAAGUGAGACAGGGUCCAGACUCCUAAGGGAGGCAGCAGUAGGGAAUCUUCCGCAAUGGGCGAAAGCCUGACGGAGCAACGCCGCGUGAGUGAUGAAGGUCUUCGGAUCGUAAAACUCUGUUAUUAGGGAAGAACAUAUGUGUAAGUAACUGUGCACAUCUUGACGGUACCUAAUCAGAAAGCCACGGCUAACUACGUG